AUGUUCUCGUCCCAAUCUGCAAGCCGCAUCAACAACAUCAGAACGUCCCUCAUCAACACCCAGAAGGGGAACCUCUCCGUCACCUCCUACUUCGCAGCCAUGCGGGGCUACGCCGAUGAGCUAGCCGCUGCAGGCAAGGCGAUCCCCGACGAUGAACUCGCCUCCUACAUCAUCCAUGAGCUCGACGCCGACUACCAGCCCUUGGUCUCCGCUCUUGAUGCUCGCGUGACCCCUGUGGCUCUCGACGAACUCUUCGCCAUGCUCUCCAACUUCGAUCAGCAGAUGGUGCAGUUCCAAGGACCCGGCGGC
rnacentral:rRNA from 1 species